rnacentral:sRNA from 1 species
AAGAUGGCGGCAGAAGCAGCUGGUGGGAAAUACAGAAGCACAGUCAGCAAAAGCAAAGACCCCUCGGGGCUGCUCAUCUCUGUGAUCAGGCGUCUUGUUUCCUGGACUUUGGGGUGUAAGGCCUUGGAGUCCGGAGACUCCUGUCACGAGUUGCAGAUUUGUGUUUUCACACUCUGGAUACUUUCAACCACCUGUGCGUGGCCACAGCCACAAAUACAAGAAUCUGCAGUGAGCUGGUAGGAGGACUGGGUUUGAAGGCACACAUCGGUUUUCAAUUUUUUGCUCUGCCUCCCUAUUCUGGUCCAUUCCUUAAAAAACAACCAAACCAAUUUCAAAUUAUCCUCCAUGCACUGCUCCUCUGCACCUCCCAGAAGAUUAGGGUGGGGGUGGAGUGGGAGUGGUGGAUCUUUUAGGAGCUUUUUUUAAAAAAGCGAAAUAUAGUGAGGAUGGGGGAACCCUUUCAAGAACCUUGGAUAUGAUACAGGUACUGACUAAAACCAAUCUAAAUAAAAUUUAUUAUGGCACGUUUUUUACGUUGUUGGCAUUU